UUCCGUAGGUGAACCUGCGGGGGGAUCCUUACCG
rnacentral:rRNA from 1 species